UACGUAGGGGGCAAGCGUUGUCCGGAUUUAUUGGGCGUAAAGCGCGUGUAGGCGGCCAUGUAGGUCCGUUGUGAAAACUCGAGGCUCAACCUCGAGACGCCGAUGGAAACCAUGUGGCUAGAGUCCGGAAGAGGAGAGUGGAAUUCCUGGUGUAGCGGUGAAAUGCGCAGAUAUCAGGAAGAACACCCGUGGCGAAGGCGGCUCUCUGGGACGGUACUGACGCUGAGACGCGAAAGCGUGGGGAGCGAACAGG
rnacentral:rRNA from 1 species